GGGACUAUGGCUUAAUGGUAGGGCACUUUCCUGGCAUGCAAGAGGCACUAGGUUCAAUUCUUAGUACCA
rnacentral:tRNA from 1 species